AUGAUGGAAAACUCAUUUUUGGAGCGGUUCUGUGGAUUAUUGUUAGGAGCCUUUUCUAUCAUUUUUGCUUACUAGCCAUUAUCAUCAUCAUAAACACCAUCCUCUAUCUAUCCAUCUCUCUCUCUCUCUCUCUCUCUCUCUCUCUCUCUCUCUCUCUCUCUCUCUCUCGCUCUCUCUCUCUCUCUCCCUCCCUCCCUCCCCCCUGGCUUGUAGUGUUGAAGAUGUGAAGAGGCUCAUAGUGAUUAUCCAGUGGUUAACUGUCAAUGACCAGACAUAGCUAUGAGAUCUGAAGGCUUGCCCAGAAACAUUUGUUUCUUUUAAGAUAUGUUUAUUGAAUCUUAAAUCAUUUUUGUUCCUUAGUUAUUCUAUGGUUGUAUUUUCUUGGUUUCCACAUAUUUAUUAUGCUCCUCCUUUAUUAUGUCCUUUAUUUACCAUUGCUUCGAAGUUGCGACUGCAUUUCAUUGUAGUAGUGAUGCUGUGUUGACGAUCAGAUCUACUCUUUUGUCUAUUCUGUGCGUCUGCAUGAUAUAACUGCAUAUGCCCACUCGUUUUUGUUUAUUGUUUUUAACCAUGUUUUCUAGUGUAUCUAUUUUGCUGCCUCAGGAAGAUGGUUCAAUGUUUAUUAGCCUAAUGAUGGAAAACUCAUUUUUGGAGCGGUUCUGUGGAUUAUUGUUAGGAGCCUUUUCUAUCAUUUUUGCUGUACUAGCCAUUAUCAUCAUCAUAAACACCAUCCUCUCUCUCUGUCUCUCUGUCUCUCUGUCUCUCUCUCUCACUCUCUCUCUGUCUCUCUCUCUCUCUCUGUGGCUUGUACGGUUGGAGAUGUGAAGAGGCUCGUAGUGAUAAUCCAGUGGUUAACCGUCAAUGACCAGAUAUAGCUAUGAGAUCUGAAGGCUUGCCCAGAGACAUUUGUUCCUUUUAAGAUAUGGUUAUUGAAUCUUAAAUCAUUUUUGUUCCUCAGUUAUUCUAUGGUUGUAUUUUCUUGGUUUCCACAUUUUUUACACUCCUCCUUUAUUAUGUCCUUUAUUUACCAUUGCAUCAAAGUUGCGACUGCGUUUUGUUGUAGUAGUGAUGCUGUGUUAACGAUCAGAUCUACUCUUUUGUCUAUUCUGUGUCUCCAUGAUAUAACUGUAGAUGCCCACUCGUUUUUGUUUUUUUUAAACUGUGUUUUCUAGUGUAGCUAUUUUGCUGCCUCAGGACGAUGGUUCAAUUUUUAUUAGCCUAAUGAUGGAAAACUCAUUUUUGGAGCGGUUCUGUGGAUUAUUGUUAGGAGCCUUUUCUAUCAUUUUUGCUUACUAGCCAUUAUCAUCAUCAUAAACACCAUCCUCUAUCUAUCCAUCUCUCUCUCUCUCUCUCUCUCUCUCUCUCUCUCUCUCUCUCGCGCGGGCGUGUAGAGAUGAAGAUAAAAAGAGGCUCAUAGUGAUAAUCCAGUGGUUAAAUGUCAAUGAAUAUAUAUAGCUAUGAGAUCUGAAGGCUUGUCUAUAGACAUUUUUUGUCCUUCUAAGAUAUGCUUAUUAAAUUGUAAAUCACUUUUCGUCCUUAGUUAUUCUAUGGUGUUUUAUCUUCAUUUCUACAUAUCUAUUACGCUCCUCUUUAUUAUGCCCCUUAUUGACCAUUAUAUGGAAUUUGUGACUGCAUUUCGUUUUAAACAUUUGCACUGAAUAAUAUGUAUUUCCCAUGUGGUGCAAAUAUCCUUCCCAAGGUGCCCUUGAAACGCUGAUAAAAUUAAUGUGAUGGAACUUCAGUCAACUGCAAAUAGUAGAGCGUCCUGGAAUGUGGUUAUUUUGACAUUGUCAAUGGCACAGUUAAGAGUUUCAAUUGGUUUGUUUUUCUUUUGGUUUGGUGUGACUAUUUGGCAACUAUUGUAUGAAAUUUUGUUUGCUAGUGCUAGUUUAGAUAUUUAAGGUGUAUGGCUAACUGUAUGAGAUUCCAUAGAUUAAAUUGUGUUUGAUGGUAGAUUCCAUUUUAGUACUCCAUUGAUCUGAUCUUUGUUGGAAUUCAAAUAAAAGGUGAAGUUAUUAUUGUAGGUUUGAGCAUAUGAGACUUUAAAAAACAACGCUGUACUAAUGAUCAGAUCUAGUGUCUUUUGUUUAUUCUGUGCCUUUCCACGUUCUACUUGUGGUUGUCUGAGUUUAUAUUUCUUGCCUUUUUUAUUUUUUGGGAUUACCUUGUAAUGUAAUCUAACAAAUUUGCUGCCUCAGAAAAUUGGUGCAAUUUUUUAUUAGCCUGGUGAUGGAAACCUCUUUUUUUUGUUAUGAUUUUUAUAGCACUUUAUAUUAUAAGACUGCAGGUACCUGAAUAGUUUUUUGUAACACAGUUUCUUAUUACUUUCAAUGAGCUUUAAAAUUUAAAUCUGGUUUUCAUUUGUGAAGUACAGAACAGUUAUGAACUGUUUGAGUACCUUUGAGCUUACUUGAUGUCUCAAUUUUCUUACUAGAUAUAUUUAUAUAAACUAAAAUCUUUAGAAUAUUUAAGAAUAUAUAUUAAUUUAUAAUUUAUAUAUUAAUUAUUUAAUUGAAAUGUAAUUUAAUGGUGUCAGGCAUUUGAUGUCAAGUUGGUUCAAAAUCCGCCAAUGUCUAUGACCAUGGUUUGUAUUAUGGCUUGUUGUGUAUAAUGGCAUAGUUUUUAAGUGGAUUUUAAAAUUUUCUUUUCCGUGGUCUGGGUUAAUUGCUAAGUGGGACUUUGGUGAACAAUGAUACAUGCAUUGGGCUUGGAGCAGUUUAUGACUGCAGCCAUUGAUGGAAAUGCAACCUAGAAAGCUAUAUAUGACCCCUGUAGAAAUCCUUGCAUUCCUGUGAUACGGGUGUUGCAAUGUUAGGAUGAAAUUUUUAUCUGCUAGUUGUAGGGGUAUGGCUGACUGCAAGAGAUUCCAUACAAGUAAAUUGUGUUUAUCUGGUAUAUUUUCAAAUUGGGUGUUCAGGACAUGGUGUUGAUUGAAAAUCUACUCAUGCUCAUGGCUACGGUCGUAUUUGUGGCGAGUAAUUUAUAGUGAAUUGGUAUUAAAAUCGAGUGAUGUACAUGCAUGCACUGAGCUCCGAGCUGUGGUUAUUGAUGGAAAUGCAGGCAGCUUAGAAAACUAUAUAUGAGCCUCCAUGAAAUCCUUUUGCUUUUCUGUUCGCAGGUGUUGGAUUUAAAAUGAAAUUUCUGUUUGGGCUAGAUUGGAUUCUUAAGGUAUGGAUUGGACUUUGUAGUAUUAAACUGUGUAUGGAAGUGGAUUUUGUGUGAUUACAAUCAUUGGAUCAGUUGCACUCCUUUGGCCUGAUGAUGGAAAACUCAUUUCUGGGAGCGGUACUAUGGAUUAUUAUAAGUAUGAGCCUUUUCUAUCAUUCUUUCCAUGCUAGUCCUCAUCAUCAUCAUCAUCAUCAUCAUCAUCACCACCACUCUCUUUCUCUCUCUCUCUCUCUCUCUCUCUCUCUCUCUCUCUCUGUGGCAUGCAUGGCCGAAGAUGUGAAGAGGCUCAUACUGAUAAUCCAGCAGCUAACCGUCGAUGACCAGAUAUAGCUAUGAGAUCUGAAGGCUUA
rnacentral:lncRNA from 1 species